rnacentral:rRNA from 1 species
GAACGCACCUUGCGCCUUUUGGUAUUCCGAAAGGCAUGCCUGUUUCAGUGUCAUGAAAUCUCAAUCUAAUAGGUUUUCUGAACUUGUUAGACUUGGACAUGGGCGUCUUGCCAGUUAUGGCUCGCCUCAAAUGACUUAGUGGAACAUCCCACAUCAGUGUUAGACGUAAUAAGUUUCGUCUCUCCUUGUGGUGAUGACUGCUCAUAACUUGCCAUCGCGCACUUUUUGACUUUGACCUGAAAUCAGGUAGGGCUACCCGCUGAACUUAAGCAUAUCAAUAAGCGGAGGAAAAGAAACUAACAAGGAUUCCCCUAGUAACGGCGAGUGAACCGGGAAGAGCUCAAAUUUGAAAUCUGGCAGGCUCAGCUUGUCCGAGUUGUAAUCUAUAGAGGCGUUUUCCGUGCCGGACCGUGUCCAAGUCCCUUGGAACAGGGUAUCAAAGAGGGUGAUAAUCCCGUACUUGACACGACGACCGGUGCUCUGUGAUACGUCUUCUACGAGUCGAGUUGUUUGGGAAUGCAGCUCAAAAUGGGUGGUGAGUUCCAUCUAAAGCUAAAUAUUGGCGAGAGACCGAUAGCGAACAAGUACCGUGAGGGAAAGAUGAAAAGCACUUUGGAAAGAGAGUUAAACAGUACGUGAAAUUGUUGAAAGGGAAACGAUUGAAGUCAGUCGUGACUGAGAGGCUCAGCCGGUUCUGCCGGUGUAUUCCCCUCAGUCGGGUCAACAUCAGUUUUGUUCGGUGGAUAAGGGCAGUUGGAAGGUGGCACCCUCGGGUGUGUUAUAGCCAACUGUCGCAUACAUCGGAUGAGACUGAGGAAUGCAGCUCGCCUUUAUGGCCGGGGUUCGCCCACGUCGAGCUAGG